UACGGAGGGUGCAAGCGUUAUCCGGAUUUACUGGGUUUAAAGGGUGCGUAGGCGGGCAGGUAAGUCUGUGGUGAAAUCCCCGAGCUUAACUCGGGAACUGCCAUGGAUACUAUUUGUCUUGAAUACCGUGGAGGUGAGCGGAAUAUGGCAUGUAGCGGUGAAAUGCUUAGAUAUGCCAUGGAACACCGAUUGCGAAGGCAGCUCACUACACGGUGAUUGACGCUGAUGCACGAAAGCGUGGGUAGCGAACAGG
rnacentral:rRNA from 1 species